ACCUGAUGACGUGGGCAUUUUCAGAGCAGGUCCCUAAAGCGCUCCUAGGUCUCCAAGAAAAGUUCCCCAUUCAUUUGUGUGAAACUUGUGAUUGCCCUUCGCAACU